UUCCGGUUGAUCCUGCCGGACCUGACUGCUAUCGGAUUGAUACUAAGCCAUGCUAGUCUUUGUAGUAAUACAAGGCAUACGGCUCAGUAACGCGUAGUCAACCUACCCUAUGGACGGGGAUAAUCUCGGGAAACUGAGCAUAAUACCCGGCAGACCACUUAUCCUGGAAUGGUUAGUGGUUAAAAUGAUUCGUCGCCAUAGGAUGGGACUGCGGCCUAUCAGCUUGUUGGUGAGGUAAUGGCCCACCAAGGCGAUUACAGGUACGGGCUCUGAGAGGAGAGGCCCGGAGAUGGGUACUGAGACAAGGACCCAGGCCCUAUGGGGCGCAGCAGGCGGGAAAACUUUGCAAUGUGCGAAAGCACGACAAGGUUAAUCCGAGUGAUUUCUGCUAAAGGAAUCUUUUGUUAGUUCUAAAAAUACUAGUGAAUAAGGGGUGGGCAAGUUCUGGUGUCAGCCGCCGCGGUAAAACCAGCACCUCAAGUGGUCAGGAGGAUUAUUGGGCCUAAAGCAUCCGUAGCCUGUUCUAUAAGUUUGCGGUUAAAUCCAUAUGCUCAACAUAUGGGCUGCCGUAAAUACUGUAGAACUAGGGAGUGGGAGAGGUAGACGGUACUCGAUAGGAAGGGGUAAAAUCCUUUGAUCUAUUGAUGACCACCUGUGGCGAAGGCGGUCUACCAGAACACGUUCGACGGUGAGGGAUGAAAGCUGGGGGAGCAAACCGGAUUAGAUACCCGGGUAGUCCCAGCUGUAAACGAUGCAGACUCGAUGAUGCAAUGGCAUAGAGCUAUUGCAGUAUCGCAGGGAAGCCGUUAAGUUUGCCGCCUGGGAAGUACGUACGCAAGUAUGAAACUUAAAGGAAUUGGCGGGGGAGCACCACAAGGGGUGAAGCCUGCGGUUCAAUUGGAAUCAACGCCGGA
rnacentral:rRNA from 1 species